rnacentral:lncRNA from 1 species
AAAAAGUGUUCAACUGGUUUUGCACCAAGAUAUGGCCCAUCUUCAAGAGGCGUAACUACAAAGAGCAUGGAAUUCUCUAGUGAAACAGAAAGUAGUGGAGCAUGAACACAACACAGGAAGAUGUUACUUGUCUAGAAGCCAUUUGAGAUUACCAACACCAAACAAUUCCAGUACCAAACUCCAAAAUGAAAUCAAUCAAGCACCGCUAGCAUGAACAUCACCUGGACGCACAAAUUUUGGUAUGAGAGGACAUCAGUACAAUGUAAUUGCUUCCUGCAGUAACGAAUCAUACAUGAACUGAAAAGCAGUACACACGAAAAAUAGAGAACCCUGCUCGAGCAUUAUUAUGUUCAAAGAUGUUGUGCUGCCGGAAUAGAGAUGGUGAGCGAAGAGUAACAGAGGAGGAAGCCAUAUAUACACAUACCGCUUGGCAGCAGAAAGGAUGGGCGCAUGAAUCGCCAUGAAUGCGCGCUGAGAAACUGAGGUAUGAUUGCGAUCAGUUUCCAGAAGAUGAGGCGCCGGCCAUAAUCGCCCGCGAUGCUGGAUCCCGUCGCGCGCCUCCUUUCUCCACGUCCUCCCUUUCCACUUCGCAGUAGGACCAGUCGCCUCGGCUGGAUCGGCCGGCGCGCGAUUCACCCGCAUCCCACGCUGCUGGAUCCCGUUGC